rnacentral:rRNA from 1 species
AGGGAAUAUUGCGCAAUGGACGGAAGUCUGACGCAGCGACGCCGCGUGAGCGAUGAAGGCCUUCGGGUCGUAAAGCUCUGUCCUUGGGGAAGAAGGUCUUCGGACUUGACGGUACCCAAGAAGAAAGCCCCGGCUAACUACGUGCCAGCAGCCGCGGUAAUACGUAGGGGGCGAGCGUUGUCCGGAAUUACUGGGCGUAAAGGGUGCGUAGGCGGCCCUUUAAGUCGGAUGUGAAAGCCCGCGGCUUAACCGCGGAAUGGCAUUCGAAACUGGAGGGCUUGAGUGUCGGAGAGGGUAGUGGAAUUCCCAGUGUAGCGGUGAAAUGCGUAGAUAUUGGGAGGAACACCAGUGGCGAAGGCGACUACCUGGACGAUAACUGACGCUGAGGCACGAAAGCUAGGGGAGCAAACA